rnacentral:rRNA from 1 species
ACUCCUACGGGAGGCAGCAGUGGGGAAUUUUGGACAAUGGGGGCAACCCUGAUCCAGCCAUGCCGCGUGAGUGAAGAAGGCCUUCGGGUUGUAAAGCUCUUUCAGUGGGAACGAAACGAUAGGCUCUAACAUAGCCUGUUAAUGACGGUACCUACAGAAGAAGCACCGGCUAACUACGUGCCAGCAGCCGCGGUAAUAC